rnacentral:misc_RNA from 1 species
CAACCCUCGACCCCUCCUCGCGGGGGUCGGCGUUGGGGGACGGCAGCACGCCGCCCCCGAAAUACAGUGGCGGCCCGUCCGCGGCGACCUCUGCGCAGUCACACCACUCGCACCGGGACCCCGACGCGGCCACGCCGUAAAACACCCAACUUCUGAACG